rnacentral:rRNA from 1 species
GAUGAACGCUGGCGGCGUGCUUAAUACAUGCAAGUCGAACGAGAAGUUUUUGUCUUCGGAUGGAAGCUUUCUAGUGGCGAACGGGUGAGUAACGCGUUGGUGACCUGCCCCGAAGUGGGGGAUAACAGUUCGAAAGGACUGCUAAUACCGCAUACAAUCAGUUGGGUUAGAGACCUUCUGAUAAAAGGAGUAAUUCGCUUCGGGAGGGGCCUGCGUCCCAUCAGCUAGUUGGUAGGGUAAAAGCCUACCAAGGCUAUGACGGGUAGGGGACCUGAGAGGGUGGCCCCCCACAAUGGCACUGAAACACGGGCCAUACACCUACGGGUGGCAGCAGUAGGGAAUAUUGGACAAUGGGCGAAAGCCUGAUCCAGCAACGCCGCGUGUGCGAUGACGGCCUUCGGGUUGUAAAGCACUUUUAGAGGAGAUGAGAAAGGACAGUAUCCUCUGAAUAAGCCUCGGCGAACUACGUGCCAGCAGCCGCGGUAAAACGUAGAGGCUAGCGUUAUCCGGAUUUAUUGGGCGUAAAGCGCGUGCAGGCGGUUUAGUAAGUUGGAUGUGAAAGCUCCUGGCUUACUGGGAGAGGUCGUUCAAAACUGCUAGACUAGA